GCAACAAAAGGAUGUAUUCAAAAUAUAUGAUAAUCAAGAAUUUGGAGCCCAACCACCAGAAGCUCUGAAAGGUUUGCCAUCACUGGUCUAGGAGAAUCACAUUAUUGAAGUCUAUCUCAUUUGCCUUCAAGACUGAGGACAUCAAGAUAAGAGCGAAGUGGUUCACAGCAUUUACAGGAGCAUCUGACUACCAGCAUCUACAAUGUCCAGUUCCAGAACUCCUCCCUGGAUGGAUGGUUAGAAGUUUCCAGUCUGUGAGUGCUUGCAUUCUAGGAAAUCAGGGCUUCCCACAACUCAGA
rnacentral:lncRNA from 1 species